rnacentral:rRNA from 1 species
CUCUCUUACAACCCACCUGUGCACUUGCUGUAGGUCUCUCGCAAGGGAGAUCUAUGUUUCUUCUUGUCACACCCGCGUCGAAUGUCUACAGAGUGUACACAGAGCGUCGUUUGACUGGUCUGACUUAGCUCAGUCGGGUCGAGUGGCGGUCCAUGAAUGAAAAAACAAUAACUUUCAGCAAUGGAUCUCUUGGCUCUCGCAUCGAUGAAGAACGCAGCGAAUCGCGAUAUGUAAUGUGAAUUGCAGAUUUUCAGUGAAUCAUCGAAUCUUUGAACGCACCUUGCGCUCCUUGGUAUUCCGAGGAGCAUGCCUGUUUGAGUGUCAUUGAAAUCUCAACCAUGUCUUGAUCGACCUCGAGACUUGGCUUGGAUUGUGGAAGUUUGCUAGCAUAUAUCCCCCUCGAUGGGUUAGCUCUUCUGAAACGCAUUAGCGAACGGACAAGCGCAUUGUGUUGACAUGCACGGCCUUUCGACGUGAUAACGAUCGUCGUGGCUGGAGUGUCGAGCGUCGCAUGGAACUGGUCUGAUCGCUUCUAAUUCGUCUGUGAAUGCUUGACCUCAAAUCAGGUAGGAUUACCCGCUGAACUUAAGCAUAUCAUUAAGCGGAGGAAAAGAAACUAACAAGGAUUCCCCUAGUAACUGCGAGUGAAGCGGGAAGAGCUCAAAUUUCGAAUCUGGCGGUCUUUGGCCGUCCGAGUUGUAAUCUAGAGAAGCGUUUUCCAGUGCUGGGCCGUGUACAAGUCUCCUGGAAGGGAGCAUCGCAGAGGGUGAGAAUCCCGUCUUUGACACGGACGCCGGUGCAGUGUGAUGCGCUCUCGACGAGUCGAGUUGUUUGGGAAUGCAGCUCAAAAUGGGUGGUAAAUUCCAUCUAAAGCUAAAUACAGGCGAGAGACCGAUAGCGAACAAGUACCGUGAGGGAAAGAUGAAAAGAACUUUGGAAAGAGAGUUAAACAGUACGUGAAAUUGCUGAAAGGGAAACGCUUGAUGUCAGUCGCGUCGGCCAGGGAUCAACCUUGCUUUCUUGCUGGGCGUAUUUCCUGGUCGAUGGGUCAGCAUCAGUUUCGAUCGCCGUACAAAGGCAUAGGGAAUGUGGCACUCCUUGGAGUGUGUUUAUAGCCUUGUGUCGAAUGCGGCGGUCAGGACUGAGGAACUCAGCAUGG